UCCUCCGUACUCUGUUGGUUGGGUAGCGAGACUUUGAAUCUCGUGUUCGUUGGUUCGAUUCCAGCCGGAGGAGC
rnacentral:tRNA from 1 species